rnacentral:misc_RNA from 1 species
GAAAAUGAUUGAUCAGUAAAAUAUUUUACUUGACCACAAAAUAAAAUAUACAGUAAAUAUUUAAAUAUUUUUAGUGAAACACAUGGAGCUUAUUUGUCUAUUCAUAAUUAAACUCAAGAUGGUAUUCUCCAAAAGGAAAUUCCAGUUCAAAAUAACAGAAGAAACAAAUCUCUCUAACUCCAAGUGAAGCUUAGCACUCAGCAAAUUGCCUCUCUUAGGCCUUGGAAACAUAAAGCAUUUUCAUGCAGGAAGUGUUAAUUACAUUAAUAACUGUUGAAAUCUGCAGAAUGAACGUGGCAAUCCAGAUUUUAUCCUUAUUGAAUUAAUGUAAAAAAGCUCAUACAUAUGUCAAUCCACACAAAUUUCAUAACUUGGCAAUAGGCAUGUGGUAGAAUGUAGCUCGAGCUGUGCAGACCACUUUCCCAGUGUUCUUGAUUUUGAACUCCAUUGCAACUACAGUCAAAUUUCUUCCACUACUCACAAUAGACCCAUCAGCUACACAAACCUCGUUUAGUGGAGCGGCAGAGAGAUAAGACAUGCUCAAUUCUGGUCCCCUGCCCGUACUGCUCUAGCGCAAGCAACUGCCAUUCUCCCUGCUAUAGCUUCAAUUACUCCUCAUGUAGUCCACUGAAAAUAUUCUAUAAUCCAGGAAUGGAAAACAGAGUCUUCGUCCAUCCCAUUUCAUUGCAAAGAAAACAGAGACAGGAGGGGAAGUUUUCUCAGGGAUUAAACAAGGGACUGAAAUUAACAGUUCAAAGGGAAAAAAACAAAAGUUAAAAGGAGAAGAGUGGGAAAAUUACGGUGAAAACCGGUAGGACGGAGAAGAAGCAAGAGACGCGGCCAUUGUAGACAUGGCUGACCUUAAGAAGAUGGCGAAAGAGAUGGGAAUAGAAAUCCAAGGAUUUGUAUUUUCAGGGAGAGGGCCCGAAAUUCCCUUGCGGAUGAGAAAACGUUCAACCUCGUGCACAUAAUGUGAAGGCAAUGCUUUGGAGACAGUUGCUGCUGUUGAAGAAGAUGGCGUUUUUUCCAGUGGGGAGACAAUUGUGAUGGUGGUUGAAGAAUUCUUCGUGUUUGCCAUUUGUUCACUGCAGCCAAAAAAUUGUAGGAAUUAGAAAGACGAAAUUUGUGAAUAAAAGGUGUCCUGUUGAGGUUU